rnacentral:tRNA from 1 species
UAGCCUAAUUGUUAAGGCUAUGGAUCGCCAAUCCGGAGACGGCGGGUUCGAUUCCCGU